rnacentral:rRNA from 1 species
GUAUAUUAAAGUUGUUGCAGUUAAAAAGCUCGUAGUUGAACCUUGGGUUUGGUUGGUCGGUCCGCCUCACCGCGUGCACUGAUCCGACCGAAUCUUUCCUUCUGGGGAACCGUAUGCUCUUCAUUGGGUGUACUGGGGAACCAGGACUUUUACUUUGAAAAAAUUAGAGUGUUCAAAGCAGGCCUAUGCUCGAAUACAUUAGCAUGGAAUAAUAGAAUAGGACGUGUGGUUCUAUUUUGUUGGUUUCUAGGACCGCCGUAAUGAUUAAUAGGGAUAGUCGGGGGCAUCAGUAUUCAAUUGUCAGAGGUGAAAUUCUUGGAUUUAUUGAAGACUAACUACUGCGAAAGCAUUUGCCAAGGAUGUUUUCAUUAAUCAGUGAACGAAAGUUAGGGGAUCGAAGACGAUCAGAUACCGUCGUAGUCUUAACCAUAAACUAUGCCGACUAGGGAUCGGGCGGUGUUAUCUUUUUGACCCGCUCGGCACCUUACGAGAAAUCAAAGUCUUUGG